rnacentral:rRNA from 1 species
UGGCUCAGAUUGAACGCUGGCGGCAUGCCUUACACAUGCAAGUCGAACGGUAACAGGUCUCGGAUGCUGACGAGUGGCGAACGGGUGAGUAAUACAUCGGAACGUGCCCAGACGUGGGGGAUAACGAGGCGAAAGCUUUGCUAAUACCGCAUACGAUCUAAGGAUGAAAGCAGGGGACCGCAAGGCCUUGCGCGUUUGGAGCGGCCGAUGGCAGAUUAGGUAGUUGGUGGGAUAAAAGCUUACCAAGCCGACGAUCUGUAGCUGGUCUGAGAGGACGACCAGCCACACUGGGACUGAGACACGGCCCAGACUCCUACGGGAGGCAGCAGUGGGGAAUUUUGGACAAUGGGCGAAAGCCUGAUCCAGCAAUGCCGCGUGCCAGGAUGAAGGCCUUCGGGUUGUAAACUGCUUUUGUACGGAACGAAAAGGCUCUGGUUAAUACCUGGGGCACAUGACGGUACCGUAAGAAUAAGCACCGGCUAACUACGUGCCAGCCGCAGC